GCUAGGCAUGGUGGCAUGCACCUGUAGUCCCAGCUAUUCUGGAGGCUGAGGCAGGAGGAUCACCUGAGCCCAGGAGUUCUGGGCUGUAGUGCACUAUACCAAUCAGGUGUCCGCACUAAGUUUAGCAUCAAUAAGGUAUGCCCCCAGGGAGCUGGGGACCACCAGGUUGCCUAAGAAUGGGUGAACCGUUCCAGGUCGGAAAUGGAGCAGGUCAGAGUUCCCAUGCGGAUCAGUAGUGGGAUCAUGCCUAUGUACAGCCACUGCACUCCAGCCUGGGCAACAUAGUGAGACCCCAUUUCAA
ensembl:misc_RNA Metazoa_SRP Metazoan signal recognition particle RNA